GUUUCAGAUAGGCAUGAACCUCCUCUGGAGAGAACAUCUUUGAAAUGUUCUCCCUUUCACUGCUGUUGCAGUAUCCUGUUUUGGAUUCUAGACAAUAAAGGAACAACACUGGUUUUAAAUAUUUCAUUCCCCAGAAGGUUCAUACAAGCACAGGGUGUGCAAAGCUGAGGCCCUGUGUGUGGCCCUGCCCACAGCUGCUGUUUAAGUACUCCAUGCUUGCAUGACAAGAGCAGAAUACCAGUGCGUGUUUAGAAAGAAGUCUUUCCAGGAGAAAAAUUGGUUCUUAGUGGGCAGAAACAGAUGUGGAUGACUUUGAAAACUGGCAAAGGGACAGUGAAUUGGACUCUGCAACAGGAAUGGGAUGCAGAACAGUGCAACAGAGUGUCCUGCAGCAAAACGAGACGGACCUUCAUGCAGUGUCAGCUCCAGCACUGGUGAGGACUGUUUGCAUUCAGAGAAGCAAUAUUCAACAUUUGUUGUUUCAAUACCUGAAGUUGUGACCACUGAAAACUUGGAGGAGCUGCUUCAUUGAGCACGGAGCUCGUGACGAGAGGCCUGAAAGCAGGAAUUCAGAGCUCCUACUAACAAAUGGAAAAGAAACUUUGGAGUGUGGACCUAAGUAAUAGAAUCAUCAAAUCAUUUAGUUUGGAAAAGACCACUGAGAUCAUCUAGUCCAACCAUCAACCCAUCCCCACCAUGGCCACUAACCAUGUCCCUCAGUGCUACAUCUACACAUUCCUUGAACACCUCCAGGAAGUGACUUCACCACCUCCCUGGGCAGCCUGUGCCAAUGCAUCACCACUCCUGAGAAGAAAAUUUUCAUAAUAUCCAACCUGAACCUCCCCUGGCACAAUGUAAGGCCAUUCUGUCUUGACUUAUUGCUGUAACCUGGGAGAAGAGGCUGACCCUCACCCCAUCACAACCUCCCUUCAGGAAGUUGUAGAGAGUAAUAAUGUCUCUCCUGAGACUCUAGUCAUGGGUAGGACAACCCAACCUACAAAGAUAAAAGUGAACAUCACAAUUAUUUACAAUAUUUACAAUGACUUUAGACAGAAAUCUGAGUCAAAUCAACCCAUGGAAUUGCUUUGCUUCUAAAACUUAAUAUACAUUACAGUUAAACCACAAUAGUAAAAUCCCCACUAAACAUGAGGAAAGGGAAAUGGCAAGCUGACUGCAGUAAGAUGUAAAAGCUUGUCUGAACUCAGAUGUGCCCUAUGUGGUUCCUGGACACAGGGCAGUUUCCAUGAAAUGCCCCACAUCUGACCCUUGGACAAAAUGUCACCUCAUCUAAUCUGUCUGGUGGGACCAAGCCCAGACUGUGCUAACCCCCUAGAUGUGCCUAAAGAUGGGUUGAGAGAAGAACUCUGAGUGCCUGUAUCUAGGAACACUCCUUCAAAGUGUUUAAUUUCCUAGAAUUGUAAAGUCAUUUGAGCUGGAAGGGACCCUUAAAGACCAUCUAGUCCAAGUCCCCUGCAAUGAACAGGGACACUUACAGCUAGAUCAGGUGCUCAGAGCCCCAUCCAGCCUGACCUUGAAUGUCUCCAGAGACAGAGCAUCCAUCACCUCUCCAGGCAACUUUUGCCACUGCCUCGCCACUCUUGUUAUAAGAAAACUUUUUCCUUAUAUCCAAUCGAAACCUCCCCUCUUCUAGUUUGAAACCAUUUCCCUUUGUUCUGUCACAGCAGACCCUGCUAAAGAGUCUGUCCCCUUCUUUCUUACAGAUCCCCUUUAGAUAUUGAAAGGCCACUCUCAAAUAUCCACAAAGAGAGGGGAAACUUUCUCCUCUCCAGGCUGAACAGCCCCAGCUCUCUCGGUCUGUCCUCAUAGGAGAGGUGUUCCAUCUCCAGGAUCACUGUUGUGGCCAUCCUCUGGAUGUGCUCCAACAGGUCUGUGUCUCUCUUGUACUGUGGACUGCACAUCUGGAUGCAGUACUCCAGGUGAAGUCUUACCAACACAGAGCAGAGAGGAAAAUUUCUAGUCUUCACAUAUUGUAAGUAUUAAUAAGGGAAUUUCCUAGUAUUAGCACAACAAAAGAGGAAAUAUUAAAAUAAUAGCUGAUUAUGUGUGUGUAUGGGUAAUGCAGUCAUGAAAAACCCUUCAAGUCUAACGUUUUGUUGUCUCUCUAAGUACAUGCUCUUGAUUUUUGCAGUCAUUCGCUUUAACUACAGUCACAAGAACCUAGAACAGAGAGAAUGAAGUUCUGGACAGCAAAUAAGGAAGUAUUUGUAGUGAGUGUUGGCAGAACUGACACCACACCAGGUCACAGCCAUGUAUUACAGUCCAGCAUCCCUGGGGCAAGACUCCAAUAGCAAACUGGAAAGAUGCAGAUAGUUCAGCUUCCUGAAGCUGGCCCCAGUCCCACCACUCCCUGAACCCUGUCCAGCCCAGCUUCUGCCUAUGCUGCUACCCCUGGGGCCCAUCCAUCAGCAGGUUGUGUCCUCAUCACCCACCUCCUGCCUCCAGCUGCCCUCCUGCUGCCCCUCCCUCGCCAUGAGUCACAUCCUUCCUUCCUCCGCCUCUGUUUUCCCUCUGGCCUCAGCCCCAAUCUAUUUGAGCCAAUAUCCUUUCCUCCACCAUCAAUGAGCUUCAGCCUUCUUGGCAUUCUUUUCCUCUCCUUCUCUUUCCUUUGCCUCUUGAGGGGCUCGCACUGCAAAGCAGUCCAUUCUGGCUGUGCGUCCCGGCCCCAGCCCUGAGCCACACAGUGGUCAGUGCCCUCCCUGUCAUCAGGGCAGCUGGAGUGGGACCAGAGGAAGGAGAAUGCUUGGCAACCAUGCUGAGAAAAUGGAAGUCCCCACCCAACAAGAACAAACCUCUCCUCUCUCCCGCUGGUGUUUAGAAAUGGGAAAAAUUUGGACAGAUGUUCACGGGGCAGAAAAAGUGCAGCUCAGAAGCAGAAUGUUUUGUCAAAGACUUGUUUCUCCAAGUCUUGCUCUCUGCAGUGCUAGAAAUGUUUGGGCAGCAAUGUUCAAAACAGACAGCAGCAGUAACAAAUGCUGCCUGAAGCAAAAAUCCAGCAUAGAAAUUUUUCUUAACUGAAUGGGCACAAUUCUACAAGAGCUUGAAAAACAGCAUGUAUGGGACUGUCAGCACUCAUUCCAUACCGAAGCACUCUCAUAAUAUAGGUAACAUGGGUGACCAGAGCCUAUCCAAUUUAAUGCUGAAUGGAUUAGCUGUUUCAAUACCACAUUUGAAAUGUUUAUACAAAUGCUGGGCUCUCACAUAAUAAAGUGGUUGUGUAUUUUUUUCCUUUUAAGCUGAUUCUUCCAUACCAAUGCUGUACCAUAGCCUAAAGUAAUUUAAAUGAUUGACUAGCAGAAUGUGCUAAUAGCUUUGAUUAGCUUCAUUUAUUUGCAUAUAAUUAUUUGCUAAUUUCUCUGCAGUAAUUAGAACUGUGGCACAUUGCUGACAUGACUUUUUUUAAACAAGAAUGCUUUCAGUAAUAUUCCAACCUGUUUUAUGAUUCCCGACCGAUGCCUUCCAUAAAGAAAUCAGUGUCAGGAAAGAUGUUUCUGAAACAAAUACACAACUCUUGAUUUUGAGCAGUCACUGAGCAGUCAUAGCAGGUUGUGCUGUGGCUGUAUAUGUUAAAAAUCCAGAAGACCAGGAAAUACUAAAGUGACCCAAAGUUCUGCACAAAGUCCCAAAUAGUUUGGAAGAAAACACUGGUAGAAAAUAAUGCAAUACUGUAAUAAAUGUAUUUCAGUUGAUAAUUCCAUUUGUGGUAUUUAGGUGCAUCUACUCAAGUUAGUAAAUUACUAAUUAUGCAUACUGCAUUUUUUCUUACCAACUUUGGAGGCUACUUAGUGUAUUUUCUUAUCUCUUGUUAACAUCAGGUUAAUGUAGAAUUCUAAACCCAGUUCAUAGAAUCAUAGAAUCCUUAGAGUUGGAAGGGACAUCUGAAGGCCAUCUAGUUCAGCUCCCCUACAAUGAACAGGGACACCACAAUUAGAUCAGGUUGUCAACCUUGCCUUCAAAGUCUCCAGGGAUGGGGCAUCAGUCAUAACUCUGGGCAACCUGUUCCAGUGCCUCACCACUCUCACUGUAAAAUACUUUUUCCUUAUAUCUAACCUAAAUCUGCCCUCUUUGAGCUUUAAGCCGUUUCCCCUUGUUCUAUUAUCAAAAACUGCUAAAGAAUCUGUCCUUUCUGUAGCUCCCCUGUAGGUACUGAAAGGCCGCUGUCAGGUCACCUUACAGCCUUCUCUUCUCCAGGCUGCGCAGCCCCAGCUUUCCCAGCCUGUCCUUGCAGGGGAGGUUUUCCACCCCUGGGAUCAUUUUUGUGCCCCUCCUCUGGACGCUCUCCAACAGGUCCACAUCUCUCCUGUACUGAGGACUCCACAUCUGGACACAGUACUGCAGGUGAGGUCUCACAGCACAGUAGAAUGGUAGGAUCACCUCCCUCACCCUGCUGGCCACCAGUUUGUGCCUGUGUUCCUGCAAGACAGAAGGAUAAAAGUCAAGGGCAAAGAAACUCUCUUCUGGAAAUCAUGACUGGACAAACAUAAACUUUCCUGGAUGCUUUGCCAGCUACCUGACAAUUUUAAAUAGAAGACUGAACAGGUGAAGAAACCAAUCAAAGUCAGCACUAAUGCUGCUGCCUAAACAGUUUAGCUGUCUUUGCUCCAUUUCUCCCACAGCUAUUGCUGACUGUGACUAUAGAUAAGUUGGCAAGGAUGGAGGUCACCAAAACAAGAAAUGCCUUCAUAAUUAAGGGCUCAAUAUGCUUCACAAAUACACCUUCUUCUGCACCUGCUGCCAAAGAGCUGUGGAUCUGUGAUAUCUUGUAAAAAUAAAUUAAGAAACCUGAAAGGCUCUCCUUGUAAUCUAAAUGUGGAAAUGAAGAUGUAGAAUGAGGAUGAAACUCCUAAUUACUCUCCCCAAGCUCAUACUUGCAGCAUAAUCAAAUCUGUCUACCGGGGCAAUCUGCACUUAAUCAAUUGAAGUGUGAUACAACCUUGCUCUUCACGAUACUGUGAAGCUAGGACUAAAAAAAGCCCUGUCAUUGUUAUGAGUGUAUUUUCAAGGCACAGAAUUAGCGAGCUCUGCUCUCCAAAAUGAGCCCCUCAACAUUUAAUUAACUGUAGUACAUGGAAAACAUUUGUUGUGGUUUGUGUCCAGCUAACAGCUGAUCCUGCCAACAACCAGGACUACACUGUCCUGAGAGCAGUCUGCCAUUGGGAUUCCUUAUUCCAACACACUUAUUUCUUGGUGAGAUGUGAAGUUCUCUAUUUGUUUUAAUGCAAACAGUGAGUUAUUCAGUAAGGAAGCAAAGCACUUUACAUUCUUGCCAUGUCUCAAAGCCUGAAGAAAAACCCACUUUUUUCCCACUCUGUAAUUGAGGAUUUUCAUGAUAGCCGAGCUGAAAACCUAUGUAUAGUAUCAGUCUAUGCUUCAAGGCUUUGGACAAGUUUUGGCCUUUGGUUUGUUUGGACAAGUAGCAGAAUUCAGUUGGAUUUGUACUUAAAUGGCAGGGCAGCUCCUCUCAAUGUCACAUUGGGAAUUGGAGGCUUGAGAAGCAGGCUUUUCCCCAACGAUUCUCUUGCAUUUUAAUUACAGGGAUGUGAAAAAACAUCUGUCUGGGAUUUUAUGACUUCUGUUUCCAACUGAAAUUGGAAAAUGCAAGGACACACAAGAGGAGAAGAAGAUUUCAGCCUUCUGAACCUGUAGCUUUCUGGUUAGAAAUUUAAGUAACGAUUCUGUAUCUGCUCUUGUUCCAGUCAGAUGUGUUUAAUUCUGCCCUCAAAACUGUGACUCCUAUUCCCAUUUCCAAUCAACAUUUGAAAUGGUAGAAAUAUCAGCAGAAAACAGUCUGUUUGGCAGAUCUCAUGGAUGGCAAAGUCUGUCAGAUGAGUUCUCUUCUGCUUUCCAGUUUGGAUAAUUGCUUGCACCUGUGCAAACUGAGGGUCCCAGCCCCUGUCCUGCUGCUGCAAUGUGCCUUGUGCAGCAGAAGUGUGCAUGGCUGGAUAAAAGGUAAGGGAGAGCAUUUGGCCUAAUGGCUGUGUUUCUGCUGAAAACAAAAUCUGUCAAAUGGUAAAGACAAAAUGCUGCACUGAAAAAACCUUCACAUUUUCUGCAGCUGUUUAUUGGGAGGUCUGUUUUGUAAAGAAGGGAAGGCCAACUUUAUGCCACAGCAUGAGCGAACAAACGACACAUUUUGCUUUCUAGUUCUAGCACAGCCUGUGCUCUCAUAAAAAAUAUUCUACCAGUAAGCAAAAACGUGAACAACAAAGAUGCAAUAACUUUUCUCACUCCUAUUUUGUCCUCUCACCUUCUGUCAACAUCCAGAGAAGUGGAACAUUCUCCGUAAUUUAAAAAAAUAAUACAUUUCCCUGUGUGCCUCCUUCCAUUGAACAGGAGGACAUCAGAGGAGCUCAGCUGUCUCCUUGAAUUUGUCAGCAAAUUAAGGACAUCAGUAUUAUGAAAAUGUCCAAACUCAAUGAAAAGUUAAUUAGCAUUCUGAGGAGUCACUUCAAUUAAGGGGAACUUGUUUUGUUGGCCUCACUAGAGAAAUGUGGACUAAGACAGGAAUAUAAAUGUGACAAUAUUUUAUAAUGAUUUAAUGUGACAAUCUCCCUAUUUGCAAAUAGCCCAGCAGAGUCACAGUUUAACAUCAAUUCAUAAAAAGCAAGUUCAAAAACAAGUCAUAACAAUUUACAGGAUGUUUUUCAAUUAUCUGACGAAGGACACAUGGAGAUUUCUUACAUGAUUUCAUUUUUCUAUGUGACUCCAUGCAUUACAUUGUUCUAAACAAUUUGUUGUUUGAAUUUUUCAAUUCCUGUUUGGUAUGUUUGCUGAAGUCUACCAAGAAGCUCCAGCAAAGUUUCCGUUGCCUUCCAAACCUCUCCAGGUGGGCUUUCAAUUUCCCACUGAUGGGAUAAACAUGCUGAGUAUUUUCAGCUGGGUCUCAGACAAAACCAACCAAAAUCAAGUCCUUAAGGCUCUGAUUCUCAGAGCACUUAAUACUAAUAACUGCACCUGAAGCUGGUUGUAGUUGUUGGGGAGUAGUAUCCCUAUAAACUUGAAAAGUACCCUCUUCUUGGUGAGGUUGGUGCUUGGAUCCAUGGAGCUGUUUAGAGAAGUGAGGUAUGGUGCUUAUUUUUUGUGGAGGGAGAGCAGACAGAGCCUGCUCCAUCAAACACUGUAGAAAAAGCAGUAAAUAUAAAAUGAAGUUAGGGAUGACUUGCAGCUCUUGAUUUUCUUUUGGGGAUAAGACUUUGGGAAGUAAAUUUUAGUGAUGUUUCUGGAGGUUUCUGGAGAUUUCUGGAGACUACUUCCUUUUUGUUUUUAAAUUCAAUUUUCAUCAGCAUCUGUAACAAGAAGUAUGGAGCUCUUUGCCUAGUUUCAGUAUAGCUUUGUCUAAGUAACAGCAAGAACCUGAAAACUUUCAGGAUUUUUCAGAAGUUCUUCAAACUUCUCUGAGACCUUCCUUUAUCAGUUUAUCUAUCCUUUGUCUAUCCUUUAUAUGAUAGAGACUGGUGACUGAAUGUCUCUCACCACUACGAAAUCCCAGGCUUGUCCUUGGACUUGCGUACUUCUGCUAUGUGAUAUACUCAUUUACAGGCACCUUGCUUGUUUCUUCCAGCUAGGGCUCCAAAAAAAAGGAGCAGGACUCAGUUACAUCCGUAUCAUCAAACAGUGCAACCCAAAGCCAGAGGAAGCAAAGUGAAGUUCAAACUCUGACCUCUGUGUUUGUCAAUCUGUAGUUAUGGCAAACUGACAAACUAAGGCUUAAACCGCCAUGUUGGUGUUUGUUGCACUUGAAAAUUAGAAGUGAUGUAUCUGGCAGGAAUAACACUUGCCAAUGGCAUCCCAACACAACUGGCUAUCACUAGCUGCCAUGAUGGCACGUGGAUCUCCUGCUGGCAGUUGGACUUAUUGCUAAAGAACUGCUCCUGUGUCAGUUUUUUGGUAGCUCGUCUUCAUUUAUUUCUUCCAUAGCUGAUCAUUUUCAUAGAUUAGUGAGGCUCCAUGAUCACUAUCUGUAGUGAGCUCCUUACCAGAUAUGUUUACUUUGCUAAAAUAAGACAGUAUUUUAUUAGCUGUUGAUCUUAGAAGCUGGAGUGUCCUGAUUAAACACAUGAGAAAGGCUGUACAGGGUUAGGCUAAACAGUCAUUUACUCCAUUAUCUUCUCUCUGAUAACAGCUGACAAGGGGAGUACAGAGCCGGGGCAGCCAUAAAGCACUUCCUCAGCAUAAUGUCCCAGCUUCUGGUGACCCGUCAUUCCUGGCCUACAGAAUCUGUCAUCUUAUUUAAUAGAGCUGGAUGGAUUUUUCCUACUCUAAUUUGCUUAAUCACUUUGUGAAACCUGGGAAACUCUAGUGAAAAUCUCUGGAAAGACACUUCACGGCUGACUAUGUAUUAUUUCUACUGCUCAUUUUGAAUUUGCCAUCGACUUUGUCUGGCCCUUCUCGUUCUUCUAUUAGAAAAUAUGAUGAAUGCAACAUCCCUAUUUGUGUUCCCUGUACACUCAUGGUUUCAUAGACCUUUCUUAUGGUCUCAGUCAGUCAUCUCUCUUCAGACUGAAAAAACCUAAUCUAUUUAGGCAUUUCUGAUGCAGAUGCCAUUUGAUACCUUUGUCAUCCUGAUCCUCCAUCUCUGAACCCUUUCUUCGGACCUGCUAUACACUGAAGAGAUUAGUGUGCCAGAACUGUCCAUAGUAUUCAAGGUGUGGGUGCCUCACAUCUGUACAGAGCGGAUGCUAUCCUCUCCCUUCUUCUCUUUUCCCUUCCUAAUAAUUUCUAGUGUUCAAUUUGCUUGUUUUUAUUAUUCCUGAGCAUUGAGCUGACACUUUCACAUAGAUCAUCUAUUAUAUUUUCAAGAUCUUAUUCCCGAAUUAUAACGAUAAUUCGGAGACUGUCACUGCAUAUGUAAAAGUAGGAUUGUUUUUCCUCACGCUUGCUAAUUUACAUUUAUCCGCUUUGAAUGCAAUUUGCCUCUUAACCAAACAGUUAAUCUGUAUCAUACAGGUUGUUUUUGUUCUUUUUUUUUUGUUGUUGUUGCAGCACCUAAAUUUUUAUCAACAGGAAACACUGUCAUCUCCUCAUUCACCUCUUUUUCUGGGUAAUUCAGAAGUGAGCUGAAUGGGACAGAUCCAGUCAGAUUCCACUGGUGUCCUCAGUACACUGAGAAAAUUGGCUGUCUAUGCCUGUUCUUCAUUUCACAAGUCUUAACCUUUUUUUCUUUCUUUCUUUCUUUUUUUGGUCCAUGGAAGGAGUUCCUCCCCUAUUCUGUCACAGCACAGUUUUUCAAAGAGCUUUUGGUGACAUAUAUUGUCAAAUGCCUUUCAGAAAUCCCAAGAGAUUCAAUUUGAAUUAGUUCGUGCCCAAUGGGUUAGGAGUUGUUUGUUCAUUGUCUCUUCUGUGUGUGAUAUAGGAGAUGUUGAAGGACACUGCUGGAAAACACAGAACAAAAAGCAAGGUGAUUCUUCAUGCACUGUCUGUUUAAGGUUCAGAAUUCAUUGCCACACAAAACUUGGACAGUGUAAGUUUUUGUGGGUUCAAGAGGCAGACUGGGUAAGUUCACAGAUGACAAAUCCAUUGUGGGUUACUAAAUGCAUCAAAGUUAAGUUUGUCUGAGGGAUUUCUGAAAGUCAGAAUGAUUGUGGCCCCAAGAAUUUUCACUGGACUUACUGCUUACAUCUUCCCAGGUCUUUUCCUCUUCCUUAGGCAUUUGCUUUUGGAGAUAAGGCUAUGGGCCAUUAGCAGCUCCAGCACAGACUUUCUUUUUUUCCCUUGUGCCCAGGUUCUUAACUGGGUCUCUUCUCAGAUUCCUUCAAAUUCUUCUGCCUGGUUUUCAAGGUGUACCUUCCCUUUUUGAAUGCUGCUUCUCUAGAGUACUACACUUUCCCCAGCAUUCAUUCAUUUAGUUUCUACCAAUUAUUCAGUAAAGCUGUGAAAGCUCCUAGGUGGUAGCUAUCCAGAUAGCACCUUUCAACUUUUAAAAACUUGUCAUCACAUUUGCCAUUUUCCACCUCUGUAGUGCCAUUGCAGCCCUAAAUGCUUUUGCAGCUUCCUUUAAUAGGUCAGCUUUCAAAUCACCUGGGUCUGGCAAUUUGUUACCUUAAUUUUUACAAUUCCUGCUAUGGAUUUUUCUAAUGAGCUCGCUCUGAGAUAGCUCCUCUGACACAUUGCCUCUGAUGUAUGAAGAAGGGUUCUAGCCUAGAAUUUUCCCUGAACUCCUUCAAGGCUGCAAAAAAAAAAUAAUUUAAUUUUCCUCCUCUGCUUUAUCUUCUCUGAGAGCUCCUUUUGUACUUUGAUCAAUUAAUGGGCCUACAAACUCUAUAGCUUCCUGCUCCUGAUGUGUUUGAAGGAAUGAUUAAUUAUGAGGUUGUUACAGCUUCUGAAAACUGUUCUUCAAACUCUUUUCUGCUGGCCUGAACCCAGAAACAGGAGAGCUUUGCUAAAGGCAUUCAUUUUGAUGUCUCCCUCUUUAAUAUUUUUUAUUUCAGGAAAGAAAAGAAUUCUUAUUGGUUUUCACAAUCAUGCACACAUACAGACUUGCAAUGGGAUAUAGUUUUACACAAAAUUUGUUACUCUUUUGGUCAUGCAUACACGUACUACAGCAGCUAUGCAGCAUCACCUGCUUUCCUCUGUAACAAUGCUUUACAUUUUCUGUACCACGUUAUAAUGCACUGAAUAACCAGAUACAUUUUCCUUGGUGAUUUUUGGCAAGUGGAUACUGCAUGGAAAGUGGAUUUCAACUUAAAAUGAGAAAACAAAAAACAAACAAACAAAAAGAACAACAAAAAACCCAGCAUUUUCCAUCUUAAGGCAAAUAAAAGCAAUUCAUUAUUAUUAUUGUAGUAGUUGCUAAUGUUAUUAUUUCCUUUUAAAGAAAAUCUAUGCAUGCCUUUCCAUUCAUCUGCUUACGCCUGACCGAUUCACAGCUUACUUUGUGCUUAUGCCAGUUCAUUGCUCCAUUGUUCUUCCAAAGAUAUUUUUCCUGCCUUACAUUCUUAGAUUGGCUUCUGGCUGACGUUUACUCUUGAAACUUAUGUUCUCAUGGUUUUGUGCAUGCUCAGUUCCUGUUCAGUAUGACAACUUGUGAUCUAUAUUUGUAACCUUGAUAUUCUGUUCAACUUUUGAUAAAAUGGACACUGAAUUAGAAGAGUUUCUUGCCUCUGUCUUAGGGUCAAGUUGUGGUUGCACACGGUUCUGUUCUACCUACUGAUGGCAAUAAUCCUAUGUUGCUGCACAGCUUCAUCUUUGCAGAUGUUGGUAGAGACUUCUUAUGUUGCCUCCUCUUUUACCUGAAGUGAUAAUGUUGCCAGAAACUUCAUCUGUUUAUGCUUUUGGUUCUGCUUCUUGUUUGCUGUUCAUAACAUAGCUGAAUUUCCCAAAUUUUCUUAUUUGCUCUUGGUUAUUCGUGGUCAUACAAGUUUUGCCGAAGUUGGUUCUCCUGUUAAAGCAUAUUGUCUUCUCCGUUACUCCUGACUCUGGAGGCUUACCUGUAUGUUCACAGAAACCAGGAGGAGACUUAGGCCAGGGACAACAUACAGCUCUUCACAUUUCAGGGGUUUAGUCCUAGGGACUCCACAGUGUCCCUCACCCAAAAGGCUUUGGCAAUAGCACACAAACAUGAUCCUUUUCACUUGUUACGCUCUUCUUGCCUCCUUCUGAUUUUACAGCUGACAACACCUGCCUUCUCACUAGGGAAUUACUACUCCUAUCCAAUUCUAUCUAUCUUUUGAGGUCACUGUAUUCCAUGAAAUGUCUCUUGAAUGACUAUUAUUUGAGAAAUUUAGCACUUCUAUGAUCCUUAAUGACAUAAAUUUCUGUUCAAUGUAUGAUUUUCCUUCUCUGAAACCUUCUUGUUCUUUGGUACUUGUGUCUGUCUGAUUUCAUUCACUGUAAUAUCACCCACAUUAACAUUUUUCUGGUACUGACACUAAUAAUACUCUAUUUCUUAUCUUUCAGAUUACCAUUCAUUUGACAGUUUGACAGUAAAACCCUUUUUGACAUUAGCAAAAGUAAGACAUCAGGCCUGUUAGACACUUCUAAGAAUCUCACGACGGUGCUUCACUUUCAGUAACCUAAAUGUAUCUAAGCCUUUGAUUCUGAUUUGAUAUUUUUUUUAAAUUAGUCAAUCUCAUCUGCUUUCAUUUUAUUUACUUCACUGGAAUGAGAAAACAAGCUUUUUCUUAAGCAAAUACAUCUAAUGUAAAUAUUGAAGUAAAAUUUAAAUAACUAACCAAGUUGCAAUUAAACGAUUAUAUAUUCACAGUUCUGUUUCACCUGAAGUUGUCUCAUGAUUGCCUCUUGGAGGUGAAAGCACUUGUUCCUUUGUGCCUCUGACUAUUGAGUAUUUUUCUUUGCUCACCUGAUAAGCCUACGUAUGCCAAGCAGUCAUAAAAGCUGAUCAGAUGAAUUGCCUUCGGUGCCUAUUCACUGAGCAUUGAUUCAAAACCACACCAAACUGGUGUAAAAUGCAAUCAACUUCUCUGCAAGGCAGCCAGAGUUUCGAGGCUGAUUUCUUGUCUGAAGAACCAGAUGUACCACUGAUCUCUGCCUGGCAAAGAGACGCAGCUUGGUGAUAACCCUGGUGUAUUGUCCAGCCCGGUAUUUGUAUCCUCUUCCUUUUCAAAGGUUCCCAGUGCACAGUCAGAGUAGCUCUGUCUUGGCUGGAGUUGUCCCCACCCAGAGAACUCCUGUUCAUUUGUAGAGCUUUCUGUACGUGGCAGCUGGUGGCUCCCUAUGGAUCUCCCCAUUUGACUGCAUAGAAUGUUGCAUGCAGGAAUUUUCAAAUGAUUCUAUCUGAUUUCUGCAGCAUGAUCAUUCUUGCACUAUAGCUGAGCAAUCUUUUAUAACUCUUUUUGGUCUUCCACGUGAGCAGGAUUGCCCUAGGUGGAUGAAGGUGCUGUUAGCCAGGAACCCAUACAAAUCCUUAAAGAGAUGCGAGUCUUGGCUACACAGUUUACCAUCUAGAAAUGCCUCACGAUAUACAGUGAAAACCAAUAUAGAGAAAAUAGACCAAGCAAUUUUAUAGUAUGUCAUAUCUGUGAAAGCCAAAGGGCAAAAUUCUGGCUUCGCUGAGGUCACUGGCCAGGCUCCUGCUCACCAAGGGUCUUUGGGGUGCAAGCAUUUGUAUUCUGCUCCUGUUGACCUAUUUCAGGUUGAAAUUCCCUUUAGUAUUGUUCACUAAGCCGUAGGGCUUGCUAGUAACCUUAACGUGUUUUGCCAAUGCAAGCUGACAAGGGCACGACAUCAUUAGUCAAGUUUCACAUCCCACUGACCUCACCAUCAUGACUUAAUCCGCCAGGGUCUGUCAUUCCUAAUGGUUUGGUUUGAAAGUGCUUUACUGCACUUGUUUAUUCACCUAAGAUGGCCAAGAGCGAGUGCUCAGCUGCUGUUAGGGAAAUGCAGUUAUGUGGAAGCUGCUGUAUUUCUGCUACAACAUGCGAAUUAUAACAAAGUUUGAUAAUGCUUCAGGUAGCUUGCUGGAGUAGCAUGCCAGCAGCUCUGCUUUUUCUUACUUUCUGAUAUCUCAGGUAUGGAUUUUCUUUAAGGUCUGAUACUGUGUGAAUUGUGGCAUGCUGAAAUUACCACAUUCUGAGAGAACUUGGUAUUUCUGCCGAGAGGGUGAUUGAUCAUAUUUUGCACAUCUGUCAACUUUCUCUUUCAGAACUUCACACCACUUUACAGGCAUCAUUACCCUGAUAUUUAAUUUAGAGAGAGAGAGAGAGGAAAAGAACAUUUCAUGCUGGCGGGUCUGGCCAGGAACCAUCCUCCUCACUGCUUCAGCCUCUCUGUGCCAGGAGAAGGAACGCUCCGUGCCACAUCCCCAGUGGAAGCAUGAAGUGUUGCAAGGCUGCUCUGCAAACCAAGCGCACAAGGAGUGCACCACCAAACAGGGAAGAGAAAAAAGUUAGAAAAGAGAAGAAUUGACACCACAUAGGAUAAAGGAGUUGAGUAGUGAGGAAAAGAGAGGGAACAUGUGGAACUCUACUACCUCAGGUACUGCCGGUUGAAAGGUCUUUCUGUGUUCUAGGAUUUCUCUUCUGGUUCUACCCAACAGGCUGCAUCAGGGUGAGGAGAAUGAGCAUUUUACUGCAUAAAGAAAGAACUGUACAAGUUUACAGCUGUUUUGUUGAACUCCUUAAACUGUUUUCUUUAGAAAUUUGAGGAGUUAUUGCAGGACAAGUUUAGGGAGUGAAUUUGAAGUGUAAUGUCCAGUCUGCUCUUAUGCCUGGUGUGAAUUAAGGCGGAGACAUUUCACUAUGGAUUAGGAGUGUCCUCAUGAAGAGUUAGUAUGCAAUAACUAUUCUAGGCUAUUUCCCCAGGGAGACAAGCCUAAACAUCUGAUAAAUAGGCCUAUUACUUUUUCUCUUAACCAAUUAAGUACUUAUUUUAGAAGGAUAAGAUGAAUUAUCACGUAACUAUUUCUGCAAUAUGUCUUACUUAGUACACUAAUGUCAGAAAAGGCAAACUACUGUCCACAGAUUGGAAGGAAAGGUAUUAGUAUUUUACAGGCUCAAGCUUAGAGAUGACUCCUGGUCUUAUUAUAUUUUGGGUGAAGAUCAUGAUAUAUUGUUGUUUUUGCAACACUUCACAUUUAUUUCAUAAAAUAAAUCACAUAAUGGACUGUCAUAAUAGCCGCAGUAGCAUGACAGCAAAAAAGAAUUGGUGGAGCUACACUUCAGUGCACAGUGAAAUAGCUAACAAUUUGUUAAAUAUCCCAUGAGUGGAUUAAAUAGGCAUAUGAUCAGUUAUGUGGCUGCCAAGCCACAGCAGGAACCAAUUAGAAUUCACCAAAAAUAAUUUAGAUGAAAACUGAUGAAUCCAUCAAAACCUAAUUAAAUUUAUGGAAAAAAGCAAACAUCUAAUUGACAGAUUGCAUAACCACUGAGCUUCUCUGUGAAGGGUCUGCAAAGGGUGGCCGCUGGGAGAAGAGCUGCACUACUGGGUCUGGUUGGCAGAGUGCUGGGUCUUCUAACACUCAGUACUCUGCUGGUAUCGAUUUCAGGUAAAUCACUCCCGUAGAGCUGAGGUGGUCAGUUUUCUGUGAAGUAACAUAAAGUCACCCAACAAAAAUUGUAACUACCAAUUAUUUCAUGGCUAGUCUUAAGUGAUACACAGAAGAGCCUGGGCAAGGAGGACUUGAAUUCAGAAGAGAGGUACAGGCAGGGAUCUCUCUUAAGGAUUCUAUUUUUCGCUGUGAACUAUAGAGGAUGGGAACUGAGAUUUUUACAGCUGGACUUGUGUGCAUCUUGUCUCUACUUUACUGUACUGUUGUGGGCCAGAGGAUUGUUUUUAUUUACGUUUGUUGGCAUUUAUGGAUUUUAAGCCAGCAAAAGGCGAAGCAAACCUGUAUGAGAAUGAGCACUGAUCUGAGCUAUCAGUAACAAAAUGCAUGAAGUGAAAAGGCGUGAUACCUCUCAGUCAGGAUUCUGGCUGCAGUAAAUAGAUGCACUGCUUUCAGAACAAAAAGACAUAGGCUUGCAUAGUUAUUCUCACUGAAUCAUUGCAAGGAAUGUGCCGGGAACAGUGCUGCUGAUCCUCUUACUCCUGCAAUGUCAGAAUAGAUAUUUCUACAGUGUACCUUACACUCCAGUUGUUUCUCAGAUUCCUGGGCUGCUCACUCUCCCAUGAAACUCUUGUACAUCGUGAACCUGAGUUUUCUCUUAACAGAAAUUCAGUUUUCUCUACUUAGAAGUGAAGCAUUCAGUUGCUGCAAGAGAAAAGAUGGUAUGUGCUUCUCUUCUAUCCAUGUGCUUCUCUUUGGUGGUCACCUGAGAAAGUGUCAGGACAGGGUCUGAUUCUUCUCUCUUGAAAAUGGGAAUGACUUUUUAAUCUUUUCCCCCAGUGUGAGACAAGUGUAAACCCAAAUCCUUCAAAUGGAAGUAAUAAAAUUAUCUCAGCCAGAAGAGUCAGGUUAUUUACAGACUUGAUAUCUUACAUAAAUAAAUAAAUACAGGAGAGUAUAUGUUGUCAUUGCUGGAUGAGUGCCAGUGUUAGCCACAUCCUAAUGUUGCAUAAAGAUGCUUGAAUUACCUUGUAGGAUGCUAUUACUGUCUAGGAAGACUUUUUCAAACAAUCCUGUCUUAAUUCAUAGACUCAUAAUAUGAGGAUGUACUACUUUCUCUAUGAGAAGGCGGUCACAUGUGCUUUGUUGCUGAUGUUCCUCUCCUGAAAUGAAAGUUAUUCUUCAAACUGAGGCAAAGACAGAGCUGAACUGUAACAUUUGGUUUCUUCUAGAUUCUUAAGUGAGCUAAGAUAACCGGAAACUGUAAAGCAAGCUGAAUGGCAGUGUGGUGGGCUGCAAGGGUGAUGCGCUGGGGUGUGCAGCAAGAUGGUACUUGUGCAACCUCUCACCAUAUGUGAGCUUCCUGCAGAAAGCAUGCAGUAGGCAGGCUGUAGAUGUGUAGCACUUCCUCAGCACUUAACACAUUGCCUCAGAGCUGAUAGCACAAAGAGAGCUGCUACUGUCUCUCUCCUUGUUCAAUUCAGUCUCAAGCCAUAAAUAAGUUGCAGAGUAAUGUAACGAGCACUUCAAAUUCCACGACAAAUAGGCUUUUGCUCAGGACACAACAAAAUGCAGUGUGCAGCCUCUCACUAGGAGCUUCGCAUGGCUUGUUUUUUAGGAGGGAGGGAUGGCCGCAACUCCUGCUGGCUCUACCAUCAGACCCCUCAAGAAUGGGGCCACUUGCCACUUCCAGAACUGUGUCCUUUCAAAAUGCAAGGUCAGAUCCAUGCAUUGUUCCUUAAGAGCACGGCUUGGGAGGAAUAGGAGGAAAUGUCUGUCAGCCUCUUUGAACCAUUUACCUUCUUUUCCUUCUAGGGCUGUUAUGUGUAGGGGAAUAAGGACUAAGACUAAGGCAGCAACUGAAAUGUGCUCGUGCCCUGUGAUAGGUUUCAUAUCAGAUGUUGCCCAUGUGUGUUGUUUGUGGCUCUGACCAAAAUUUGUGAUAGUCUCCAAAAACUUUGCAGUGUGCCUUGCUAGCAUUUCCCUGCUGUUUUUUUAGUAUGCACAGAGUGGAUCUUGAAGUAACAACAUUGGAAGUUAUUGAUAUUCAGUAGGUGUUUGCAUUAAAAAAAAAAAAAAAAGCCAAAAUAAAUAGCAGUACACUUAGUUAUCUAUUUGCAAAAAAGUAAGCAGGAACAACUUGAUAUGCACAAUUCCUGACGCAGAAAAUUUCAUGAGGCCUCCUUGAUAGAGGAAGUACUCUAAGGUCUAAGAAUGUAUUACAGAGCAUCUCUUAAUGAGAUUCAAAAUCUUCUAGAAAUUGCCCAUUUUUAAAAAUUGCUGGAUAUGCUAUGAUAGAGAGCUUGAUUUAUGUCCAAUAACAUUAAUAAAGCCAUUUUCGAGCUUCAUUGGAAGCAGGAUCAAACUAAUUAUUUGCUGCUGGUUUUACAUCUGCAGUUCACUUUGGACUUGAUUUUCAGAGGUACUAAGCAUGUUCCCAUAACACACCAAUUUCAAAUAAUGCUUUGGGUGCUUGACACUUCAAAAAAUGAAGCUUCGUUAUCUAUAAAUUCAGUCAAAUUGAUAAUCCACAUUGGAAGUAAUGGAUAAAGCUAACAGAAUCUGCAAAUAAUUUGGAAGUGCUGAAUUAGUGCCUCUCCUGACAGUCGAGGAGAGGUGCCUUAUCUAGCCAGCCUUAUCCAUUUUUUCACCUCCUCUGACAACAGGCUGCCAGGCGUAGGUUGCUCUGCACAGCAGCAGCCUUCAGCUAAGGCACUUUCUGUCACCCGAAAAUAUAUUCAACGCUUGAAACUAGCCUAUUAUUAAUAAACACUGGCACAUCUCAGGGGUGGUAUUCAUCUUCAUGCUAUCCUCAUAUAAAUCUUCUUACUCUUUGUAUAUAAGUUCUCAAGGUAUUAAUAUUUUGUGUGCUUGGGAAUAAAAUAAUUGGAGUAAUAAAAAGAAUAUUCCUUAAUUUCUCCCUGUGAACACAAAUCUGAAACUGACCAGUGCAGAAACUGUGUAAAAUUGGAUAAUCAGAUUACAGAAAGAGCUGGAUGGGGAAUGGAGUUGGCAAUGGCAUUCAGUUUUCACUUAAUUGGCUCAAAUACAUUCCAAGCCAGUAGUUGCAGAGAGGCUUUACUGCCUGAAAGUUGUUUUGCAAAACCUGUGAAAUAAACAGCUCAUCUGUCAUGUUAGGAACACCAUGCACCAUAGGAAAAAUACCAACACACAUAAUGCUGGCUGGUAUUGUAGAGGAAUUGUCAGGAGUUAAACCAGAGGUGACAAACAACAAAUGGGAUUUCAGGUACUUACAGGAGCCCUGAAUACCUGGUUUCAAAUGAUGAUUGGCCUCAUACCUGACAUGAGCAAAAAGAAUGCAGAUGCCUCUGCAGAUAAAAAUAACCAUAUUUUGUUAUUUUAUACCAAAAAAAGGAGAAAAGUCAGCUAGAAAUUUAUACAUCUCUAACAAAAUUUUAGGUUGCAAUAACUGUUCCUCAUUUCUAAUGCUAUAGACUCAAGUUCUGUUUCCAAUGUCUCCCAUGACUGCUGAAUAUUCUCCUAAAAUGAAGUUUGCAUUAACAUAGUAAGAGUUUAAAUGCUGUAUUUAAAACGUGUAGGUUUCUGCAUGCAACAAAAUGGAGAAGUUAGGUGAGGUUUAAUAUGGAAAGCUGGGCAGACAUGAAGUUUAGAGCAAAAUGAUGUGUGUUGUUCCUGGCUGUUCAACAUAUGAAUCUGCAGGAUGCUAUAUGAAUAGAAACUAAAUGGAGAAAAGUUACCAAGUAAGGACAGAGAAUAAGGGAAUAAAAGAGACAGAAAAUGGCAAAAUGUAACAGGUUGCAUCUUGAUGUUAAAAUGAAAGCAAAGAUUUUACAUGCAUACAGUUUCCUGAAAAAUUCUACAAGUAUUAAGGACUUGUUUUUCAUGCUUAAUAUUGGGGUAAAAGUGACUUAAAUAGAUCUAGAUUUUCAGAGGUAAUUUUGGUAAAGAUGCACUUUCUUUUUUUCUCAGUUUCUUAACGCUCUCUUUUCAUGCUGUACAGGCAAGGAAGGAAAAUCCUUUGAACAUUCAGUUCUAGGUCUUCCUGUAGGCCUUUUGGCAUCCUUGCAAGGAAAUCUCACACCAGCCCCAGUUAAGUCUGGCUGUAGCAGAUUGCUCAGUAGGAAACCUCAGAUGUUAGACCUCCUCUUCCAGCUGAGAACUUGUGAACUCUGAGAUCAUCUUCUCUAUUCCUUGUGCUAUGUCUGUCUCACAAACAGGGAUGAGAACAUUCAGGCAGGAUUCCAUGCUGUGAUAUAUCCCUCGGAGUAAGAAAUAGCCUUCCUGACCCCAUUGCCCUCCUGAUGAUUCAGGGUUGUGCCAGGACUCCAGUUUCCACCAAAAUCUGUGAUGAUGGCAUUGGAAGUCUAAAGGUAUUUUGUUGAAAUUACCACUCAGUAUCAGAACUUUUACACCUGCUAUUUCUACUAGACACAGAUCAAUCUCAUUUCAGAAUAAUUACUGUUGGAAAAGACCACUAAGACCAUCUAAUUCAACUGUCAACCUCCACCACGUCCCUGGGCAGCCUGUCCCAAUGCCUCACCACCCUUUCUGAGGAGGAAUUUUUCCUAAUAUCCAUCCUGAACCUCUCUUGGUGCAUUGUGAGGCCAUUCCCUCUCAUCCUAUCGCUAGUUACCUUAAGAACAGCUGUCUGUAUUUAUAAGAGUUCCUUCUGAGGAAGUCUUGCUUAGCCAUGACAUGAGUGGUGAUCUGUGCACCUAAACCUGGAACAAAGGCACACCUUGAUGGUGGUUCUCCUUGGGCUGGGUACCUCAGAAGCAGCAGGACUUGAGCAGAUCAUUUCAUUUGCUAACAACAUCAUUUCCUGUUGUCUUGUGGUUUUUCUUCCUACCGAUAUUCUUAUGGGAAAAGAAUAUGCAACAGUAUCCAAGUUACUUAGCAGGUUCCAAAGUUCUGAAAAAUGUGACAUCUGCACAGUUUUUAGUAGUCUCAUAAGACUGUUUGACUGAAUUUGCAAUGCAUAGCGUUACAGUAGCUAUCAGUCUCCGUCUAGAGAGGAUUUUAAAAAGCUAUGGGAUGCUAUAGACAACAGUGAGGUGACUGCAAUCAAAACAGUAGAGCACUGAAGUGAAUUUUAUCCUUUGCAAGCCGCUCUGUAAGCCAACAGAACGUAAACAAGUAGACAAAUAGUGAUGUCUCUCUCCCCUUUGUAUUAAGCUAUGUAGUACCUCUUGGAAGGCCCUGCAGCAGCAGAUGAUUGAUGCACGUAACAGUACAUUUCAUCCUGCACCCGGAGGACAUGAGCAAUUGCUGCGCCUUUGCUCUUCAUUUUAUAUAGCAUGCCCUACUCUUUGCUUCAUGCUUUUCAAGACAUUGAAUGUAAUCAAAACAGUAAUACCAAACUAGAGCAGAUAAUCUAGAAAAAUAUUUUAUGUAUUCUUCCUCUGCUUUUUAUUUAUUUAUUUAUUUUUAAUUUGGCCUCAAAUCAGUUUGUUUUCUUAUUUGAGCAGCCACCACGUUGGCAUUUAGAAGAAAAGACUGUUCACAUGAAGUCAGCCCCUGCAAUGAGUACGGAGAAGACAACACCAUGUUCUUAGGCUGAGAAGUGCUUGAAUAAAUGGCAUCAUUUAAAAAAAGAGUCUCUUUUGUCUAUAAUAAAAUAUUAAUUCAAUAUUUUGCAUUAGCUGUUCUUAUUUCCUUAUGUGCAGCAUUAUUUCUUACAGUUCUCGUAUAUUCUAAUAACUCUUCAAACUUAGGAGGGAAGACAUGCUUCUAAAAACUUCUUGCUAAUGGAGCAGUGAAAUUACAAGAUAGUCAUCUUAAUGCCACCGAGUUACAGCACUUUCCUGUUUACUAAAAUCGUUUGCUUUUCUUUUUCCAAAUGGCUUUAUUUUCCCCUUAGAUUUUCCAUCUCAGCAUGCUCUGCUGCAGAAAUAAACAAAUGAACACAAUGCUCUGGUGUGGCCCAAUCCUGGCUCUGCUUUAGCUGCCUCUGGGAAGUCUGCACGCUAUUUCAGUGCUCGGGUAUGUCAGCGCGAUUUCAGUAGGGUUGAGAUCCUUAAAGGAUAUCUGCCUAGGCCACUGUAUUAUUUAUGUCACUGUACAGCAAAACAAAUAAGGUGAGGCUUAAAACACAGGAAAAGAUAAUAGCAGGUCGUUUGUCAGCAGAGUUUUGAGAAGCCUAGUAACCUCUAACAUUUGAAAGAGCAUGGCACGUAUGCGGUGCUUCCAUGAAACCUUUUGUGGACUCCAGGCCAGCCCUGAUGACAGAAGAUUUUCCCCUCUUGGCAAAAUGAUCUGGUUUGCCUGGUGAUGUGGGAGCUGUGGCAAGGUGACCGGUCUUCUGAUGGUGAUGCAGGUGGUGAUGGUGGUAGUGGGGAAUGUUUCUUCCAGCCACUGAAUGCUGCUGCAGCCUGCAGUUGAGACCAGGUAAAAUGUUAGCCAUGCAAUGUGUUUUACAGUGGAAAACAUGUAUUUGCUUGCAUAUUUAUGACCAAUUUAUUCUCUGCUUUUUGAUUUCAUGUGUUGUGUUCCCGGGCAGGGCUUGUAACCACACACCCCCUGGCAGUUCUCCAGGCAUGAUUAACUGCUGCAUUUACUCAUCUCUGUGGAUGAAAGAAGCCUACCCAUACAAACUGCAGACCACUACGAAGUGCUAUUUAGCUAUUAGAGGGAUCUUCUACUUUGUUGAAAACUGAGCAACCAUACCAGCUGAGACCGGAGUCCCACCUCACUCCAUAUACUGUCUCAAACCUCUGGAAAUCACUAUGGAGAAAACUUCUACUGCUCAGCAACAGAAUGCCUGACAUAGCUGGGAACAAAACUGAGGAUAUUCUGUUUGCAGUCCUGUUGGUGCUGGUGUGGUGCUGUUCAUUUACACUUUAUAUAAAUGCUAUGAGUUCUGGCAUUUUACUGUAAUUUCAUUGAUCAUAGUCCACUACAGAGUUCAAACCUAAAAUCUUUUAUUAUAUGAGUUUUUAUUUUCUAAUAUAUUCUUCGAUAUAUUUUAUUGAAAACUGUGAUUUCAAGGUCAUUACUAUAGCAUCAGAAAGAAAGUCUUCAGCAGUGCAUAGGAAACAUGAAACUAAAUUAAACUAAACUAAGUGAAACUGAAUUGCUGCCAAGGGCAGAAAAUGGCCAUCCUAUACUUUGGCGCCGAAGUGGGUAGAGGAGUAAAUCACAGAAUCAUAGAAUGGCGUGGGUUGGAAGGGACCUCAAAGAUCAUCUUUGUUCAAAUGCCCCUUCCAUUGGCAGGGUUGCCACUGACUAAAUGAGGCACCAGCUCGGGCUGCCCAGGGCCACAUCCAACCUGGCCUUGAACACCUCCAGGGACUGGGCAUCCAAAUCAGGUCUCUUUCAGCUCAAAAACAAGGAGAUAUUUGAGAUGGAGGAAGGCAAGAAGGAGUUUUCAGUUCUUUAAGGGGUCCAGAGUAGCUGGAGUUAGAGAUGUUUAGUUAGAGAUAUUUUUCCAGAAAAAUGCAAAUUUGGGAUUAGAUCCUCAUAGGAGAUACAGGACUUCACUGCAGACAAGCAAGCCAGAGGCACUGAUGGUAAUGGUGCUUGAGCUGGAGACAGUCCCCUGGCCACCAGCAUGGACACUGCUGUGUCCCCAAGCUGAUGUGUAGGGGACAUAUUUCAGAUACCCCGCUCUGAGUUCCCACAGUAGACUUGACCCUGCACUUCCCACCAGCUCAUAGGGAAUUUAGAGCAACCCCAUGGCUCUGGAGAAGCUGCCCCAGAACUGAAGGCAAGUUGGAUCCUGCCUGUCUUCUCCCUGGUGCGGAUGCUCAAGUGGUUGAUUUUCACUGGAAUUCAUUGUUUUGAGACUUCUCCCUUGCUUCAACACCUUGUUGAAAUUGGCCGAGUGCUCUGCCACGUACUAUUACAGAACCCUGUGAUACACUUUGAUAGACAUAAAUGCUUGCUGUAUGUUUUAUAAUUUUUCUUCUUUAAAGCCUUUUUUUCCCCCACUGCUUGUAGUUUCAAGGAGAACUGCGUGCUGCAGGCAGGUGAGUGCUGCCAGGAUGAGAAAGUUUCUUGCAGUAUUCUUUUCCUCUUAAAUGCAGAAACUUCUGAAGGACGUUUUUUUCUGCAGAGCUCCCUGCUCAGAGAUCGGAAUUAAAUCCAGGAAAUAUAAAUAAAUAAAGCCAAAAGAUCAUCCCCACCAGAAAGAAAUGAAAACAAAGGCGUUCUAUAGCCACGGAAAAUGCAAAAGACUGAAAUAAUUCCUCACUGCUGUGGAUGCCAGGUCGUGCUGCAAGGGGAUGGAUUUGGCUCUGAACCCGAACUGCCAGCACACAGCCUCCUGGGGCCUGGGGCUGUUGCAGUGGUUCAGUGCUGCUGCAAACCACUCCUGGGAACUGCGCUUUCCUCCGCUGAGUAACUCUGCAGCAGUGCAAUACUAUAUUUAAUCAAUUCAGGUGUCUUAAAAUACUUCCGUGCCCAGCAGGAACGUCACUGCACAGACCCAGAGAUCAAACAAAUGUGUGCUCGGUGCCCAUUCAGAAAGCUGACAUUCUUUUAGGACAACAGAAGGCAGGGAGCAGAAAGAAGAGAAAAGAAUGAGCAUAUUGCAUCAGGCUCUUCCAUUCUGGGAGGUGAUAAAACUCUGGGGAACAUUUUUUUCCCCCUUUUUAUUUAUUUUUUCUUGAUGCUCUUCAUCUCUAUUUCAAUUUUGGCAAACAACAGUCUUAGAUGUAGCAGUAACUUUAAGUGACCUCAUGUUUGUCUCAGAAAGACAAUAGAGCAAUAAAAUCAGUGAAUGCAGAAGUUUUAUGGGUAUCACAUCAACAAUUUCCUUCAUUUCUCAUGGUGCAAUUGAGAUUGAGAACUUUCCCAUAAAUGAGAUACACUUAGUGAAGCGAGACACAUCCUUGCAAGAAUCCCAUCACAAUACUAAUAUUUAAAAAAUGUAGAUCUUCAACCUAAAGUGGAGCACCUCCAGCUGGCUCAACGUUUUGCUUUCUACUUGUGAACAGAUGCUCUCAAGACUGGGCUGGCUGGAGCCCUGUGCAGCUGGGUCUGGUGGGGGCAGCCCUGCACAUGGCAGUGGGGUUGGAACUGGAUGGGCUUGAAUGUCCCUUCCACCCUAACCACUCUGUGAUUCUAUUACAGCAGUACCUUGGUGAUAGUGACCACUAUAAAGUCAUAGCUAACAGCUAACCAAGUUUUGAAAUACAUAACUUUACAUGAAGAUGAUAUUGGAAAGGGAUUCCUUUUGAUAAUCCCACUGAACAGGGAAGAUGGUACUUUCAGCAUCCUGAUAACACCUAAAUAGCAGAAUCUCCCAAACAGGACCUCCACAGCAGCAUCUGAAACAAUCUCAAAGCAUUUUUUUUUUGUAUUGUUAUAAUAAUACUUUCAGUAUAAUAUUUCUGAACAUUAAAAAAGUAUCUUCUAAAGUAACCCCACUUCAGAGUAAUCACCGUUGUUUGCUGUAUAAAAGCACACUGCUGAGGAGCUCUUGGCCCAAGUGCCAUACGAGUAGUGGUAAUGAACAAGUCCUUGGCACUGCUGCAAGUGAAAAAUUAAAAGCUGGAAUACUGUAGUUAACGUUAUGAUUGUGAACUGAGCUGCCAUUAUUGUAGCUGCUAUAUGUUACUCAAAGGCAUGCAGGACAUCGAGGCACAUACUUUUAUUUCUGGCACAUGAAGUCAAAUGUCAUUCACAAAUUCCUCCCACACAUAUCUUCAGUGGAGGGGCAAUAAUUUGCACUAAUCCUUGGGAAACCCAAUCGGAGCUCAUUAAUUCUGCAAUUUAGCAAGGAGCGGGCAGCUUCAGCAUGAAAGAGCAGAAAUCCCUUGGAAUAACCUCACUACAGUUUGGUUUCAGGACACAAAAUGGUAUUGACCAACUUUUGCUGCUAGUGCUUAGCAGAAGAGUGAAACCUAAUUGAAUUAAGACACCAUAACAACAAACACUCCAACCAAAAACACAGUUUGUACGCUGGAUUUUCAGGACUGCACUCAGUCCAUCAUUUAAGGCAACGCUUGGCAUCACUGCAACUGUAGUCUGGGCUGCUGAAUCAGCCCUGCAUCCUGUGCUGUUACAGACCUUCUGCAUGGUUUGGGGCAGGUUAUUUCCCCCGCCAUCUCUUGCCUGUCUUAUCUGUUUAGGUCAGUAAAUCUCCAGGACAGAAUUUCUCACGCAAUGUGUCUGGCGGGUGAAAGCCCAACUGAAUUCUGGCUCAGCUGCAGCUCCCGUGCAUUGCUAUGGUACAGAUGAUAACGCUCCCUCUUAGCACAGGCGUGGAUGCAGCAGAACCAGAGGCUCGGUAAUGGGAUCUCCCUCUAAAGCAUCUGUUCUAAAACCUCAGAGAUGGGCGAGCUGCCAAUUUGUAAUUUAUUAAGAUUAGCAAGUAUGAAGUUUGGAAGAAUAUUUAUUAAUGAUGUUCUAUUGCAGAUCGAGGUCACGUUUAAGUGGGAUUAUGCAACUCCAUAGAUGCUGGGUUGAUGAGUUAUUGUGGUUUUUUUUUUUUGGUGAUGGCAGGAUUGUUUGGUAUUUUUUUUUUUUGUCUUCUUUUUCUUUUUCUCUGGAAAUCAGUGCAGACAAAGCUAUAUGCUUCAGGAUAGAAAGGUCAAGUUCAGCCCGUCCACUUUCCAGCCAGAAGCGGCGGCUGCUUGGGAACACAAAGUAUAGGAAAACAGAAACUGCAUCUCUAGCUGAUUCCAUUUUAAACAUCACCUGUAAAAUAAAACUCAAACCAAGAGCACAAAGCCUGGUUUGUCCGAGAAAACGUGACAGUCCCACAGAAGAAAGCAGCCCCUUCCUGGCCGACGGAUGUACCCUGAUGGAAACCACCCGAGCCGGCAAACACCGGGAUGCCUCACCGCGAAGGGAGGAAGGCGGGGAUGCCGGGGCACGGCUGGCGCCCGGUUAACGCAGCUCCCAGCUCUGCAGCAGCCGCGCUCCGCCCUGGCUGCCGGGGCAGCCCGCGGGCAGCUCCCAUCGCGAGCGCGUAGGGCCGUUCGUGGAGCUCUGAGUCACGCGAACCAAGCGCUCCGCUGAUGCAGCUAUUAGGAUGCCUGAUAAAUAUUUAUAGCCCCUCACCGCGGAGCUGAUUGACAGCACGGGGGCAAUCCCUACCGGCAGCCGCAGGCAGCCGCCUCGGGGACGGGAG
rnacentral:lncRNA from 1 species